rnacentral:rRNA from 1 species
AGGACGAACGCUGGCGGCGUGCUUAACACGUGCAAGUCGAACGGAAAGGCCCUUCGGGGUACUCGAGUGGCGAACGGGUGAGUAACACGUGGGUGAUCUGCCCUGCACUUCGGGAUAAGCCUGGGAAACUGGGUCUAAUACCGGAUAUGAUCAUGCGCCUCAUGGUGUGUGGUGGAAAGCUUUUGCGGUGUGGGAUGGGCCCGCGGCCUAUCAGCUUGUUGGUGGGGUAAUGGCCUACCAAGGCGACGACGGGU